UUACAGUCAUAUCACGUUGAACCACCGUAUUCUCGAAAGAUCAGCAAAGCUAAGCAGUGUCUGGCCUGGUCAGUACUUAGAUGGGUGACCGCAUGGGAAUACCA